AUUGAACGCUGGCGGCGGGCUUAACACAUGCAAGUCGAGCGGGGGCUUCGGUCCUAGCGGCGAACGGGUGAGGAAUGCCUGGGAAUCUGCCUGGUAGUGGGGGAUAACGAUUCGAAAGGGUCGCUAAUACCGCAUACGUCCUACGGGAGAAAGCAGGGGACCUUCGGGCCUUGCGCUAUCAGAUGAGCCCAGGUCGGAUUAGCUAGUAGGUGAGGUAAAGGCUCACCUAGGCGACGAUCCGUAGCUGGUCUGAGAGGAUGAUCAGCCACACUGAAACUGAGACACGGUCCAGACUCCUACGGGAGGCAGCAGUGGGGAAUAUUGGACAAUGGGCGAAAGCCUGAUCCAGCCAUGCCGCGUGUGUGAAGAAGGCC
rnacentral:rRNA from 1 species